rnacentral:rRNA from 1 species
CGAGAAAGCCCGCAAGGGUGAGUAAAGCGGCGCACGGGUGCGUAACACGUGGGUAAUCUGCCCUAGAGUCCGGAAUAACUCGCCGAAAGGCGUGCUAAUGCCGGAUGAGACCACGGGAGCUUCGGCUCCUGGGGGAAAAGGUGGCCUCUGUACACAAGCUAUCGCUCUAGGAUGAGCCCGCGGCCCAUCAGCUAGUUGGCGGGGUAAUGGCCCACCAAGGCUACGACGGGUAGCUGGUCUGAGAGGACGAUCAGCCACACUGGAACUGAGACACGGUCCAGACUCCUACGGGAGGCAGCAGUGGGGAAUCUUGCGCAAUGGGCGAAAGCCUGACGCAGCAACGCCGCGUGUGUGAUGAAGGUCUUCGGAUCGUAAAGCACUGUCGCGAGGGACG